GAUGAAGAACGUAGCGAAAUGCGACAAGUAAUGUGAAUUGCAGAAUUCCGUGAAUCAUCGAAUCUUUGAACGCACAUUGCGCCCUCUGGUAUUCUGGAGGGCAUGCCUGUCCGAGCGUCAUUGCUAUACCUCAAGCCCGGCUUGUGUGAUGGGCCUCCGUCCUCCUCCCGGGGGACGGGCCCGAAAGGCAGCGGCGGCACCGCGUCCGGUCCUCGAGCGUAUGGGGCUUCGUCACCCGCUCUUGUAGGCCCGGCCGGCGCUUGCCGACACAUCAAUCUUUUUUCCAGGUUGACCUCGGAUCAGGUAGGGAUACCCGCUGAACUUAAGCAUAUCAAUAAGCGGAGGA
rnacentral:misc_RNA from 1 species